GUAAUGUAUGGGGAUCUGCCUGAUGGCGGGGGAUAACUACUGGAAACGGUAGCUAAUACCGCAUAAUGUCUGCGGACCAAAGCGGGGGACCUCCGGGCCUCGCGCCAUCAGAUGAACCCAUAUGGGAUUAGCUAGUAGGUGGGGUAAUGGCUCACCUAGGCGACGAUCCCUAGCUGGUCUGAGAGGAUGACCAGCCACACUGGAACUGAGACACGGUCCAG
rnacentral:rRNA from 1 species